GUGCCAGCCGCCGCGGUAAUACCGGCGCCUCAAGUGGUAGUCGCUUUUAUUGGGCCUAAAACGUCCGUAGCCGGUCUGAUACAUUCGUGGGUAAAUCAACCAGCUUAACUGGUUGAAUUCUGCGAGGACGGUCAGACUUGGGACCGGGAGAGGUGUGGGGUACGCUCAGGGUAGGGGUAAAAUCCUGUCAUCCUGAGCGGACCACCUGUUGCGAAGGCGCCACACUAGAACGGAUCCGACGGUCAGGGACGAAGCCUAGGGGCACGAACCGGAUUAGAUACCCGGGUAGUCCUAGGUGUAAACGCUGUGGACUUGAUGUUGGGGGUGCUCCGAGCACUCUCAGUGUCGAAGCGAAGGUGAUAAGUCCACUGCCUGGGAAGUACGGUCGCAAGGCUGAAACUUAAAGGAAUUGGCGGGGGAGCACCGCAACCUGAGGAUUGUGCGGUUUAAUUGGAUUCAACGCCGGAAAACUCACCAUAGCCGACGGACAAAUGAAGGUCAGUGUAAUGAACUUACCGGAUUGUUCGAGAGGUAGUGCAUGGCCGCCGUCAGUUCGUACCGCAAGGCGUUCUGUUAAGUCAGAUAACGAACGAGACCCUCAUCUCUAUUUGCUAACUGGAUCUCCGGAUUCAGUGCACUAUAGGGAGACCGCUGGCGCUAAGUCAGAGGAAGGGGAGGGCAACGGUAGGUCAGUAUGCUCCGAAUGCUAUGGGCUACACGCGCAAUACAAAGGACAGGACAAUGGGCUGCUGCUCCGAAAGGAAUGAUAGCUAUCCCGAAACCUGUUCGUAGUUCGGAUUGAGGGCUGUAACUCGCCCUCAUGAAGCUGGAUUAGGUAGUAAUCGCGUCUCAAAAAGGCGCGGUGAAUAUGCCCCUGCUCCUUGCACUCACCGCCCGUC
rnacentral:rRNA from 1 species